rnacentral:lncRNA from 1 species
CGUUGUGAAGAGAAAAACCGGGAGCGUUUCUUGUUUUGGGCUAACGGCGAGAAAGACAAGAGACUGCAGUCAAACACUCUUCAACUCGACUCGGCGUCCUCGACUCGACUAACGCUUCGUUUUGAUGGAAGAGAACGGACGGCUUGGGGUUGGUCUGUGGAGGCAGCCAACGGGUGGGGAAAGGGAUGGCGCGCGCGGGGUUUAGUUGCUACAUUUCUGACGCUAGGGGAGCCACCAUCCAACGAUUCUUUUCCUUCUUUCUUUUUUUUUUAGAGGAAAAAGGUAAGAAAAACAAGAAUCCGACCAACCGCCAUGUGUACGAAAACACCUUUUCCUUUGCAAAAACCUUUUUUACCUACCUAUAACCUUCGAAAUAUGUCUGGAAACGUCUUCCCCAAAGGGAUAACAACUGCAUCUAAACGUUAAUGCAUUCUCGUGGGGAAAGAAGAAAACAUGGCGAAAAGGUUUUCUCCCAAAAAGAAAGAAAAAAAAAAAUCAAUGGUAGCCUUGCAAACGUAUGGCAUUCUUAAUUCCAUUCUAUUUGGCAUUUAAUCCCCUGAAGAAUGCGUGUGUACUCGAAUGGCGACUGUCGUUUCCAAACCAGUUUCCAGUCAGCAACAAUUGGUUCCACGAUCUGCGGGGGAAAGAAAGAGAGAAGCCAUACCGGGACAAGAAACAUACACGCCGGUGAUGUCAACAAGUAGCCAAUGACUCAUUGACUUCUUUCUUUGCCAACGUCAUAUUAUUAUUAAUUUCAACAGGUGGCUUCUUGUUUCUUCCUCCCACAAAGACAAAAAUAAAACGCAGAUACGUUUUAAUGCAAUGGAAAUAACAUUCUUCUUGAAAGCUAUAUAGCUAUAUACUAGUGUAACAGUUUCAUGAACAUUUCUCAACCGUGAAAAAGUCAAGAAAACAAAUGUAGGUUAACGAGGUGCCAUGUAACGGAAAAGAGUAAACUGAAGAUUAUCAUCUGUUCGAGGAGGAAGAAGAAAAAAAUAGUUGCCUUGUUUGCUCGGGCCAUUGACUUUAGGUCGAUAUAUAUUUGCGGACGAGGAAAUGCGAGAAAAUUAUUUUGUGUGAUUUCAACCAAUUGGCGAGUCAUCGUCAAGUAUGACACAAAAUAGCCACUUUUCGGUUAGCUCGAGGGCAUCGUUGGAUUCGAAACAAAAGGAUGCCUGGUAAAAAGUGAAAAGCUACACACGCUAAGCGAAGGCGGUCAAGACAGACCGCCAGCAGCACUGUGUUUUUGCCAGUGAGUGGUCGGAGCCAUUUUGUUUUGUUGGUCGGUUGGGAUAUUUCAGCCCGUCACUCGAUACUUCAUGGCUAGACUUCCGUCUGUGCCCCGUACAUCGUUAAGUGUAGUCUCUCUCUAGCUUUAUUGCAUAGCCCUAUGACGAAAAAAAACUCGUUUCUUUUCAUGUUUUUGGAAACACUGCAAUCCUUUUUUAAUUUACGAUUCAAGUCUGCACACAGCGGCCAUUGAAGUCUGCUGCUCUUCCUAGAUAUCCACUUAUGAAACAAAAUUGAACUGUGACGUUUCUCGUAAACACAAUUGAAGUAAGCAGCUUUAAAAAAAGUCGCAUGAACAAUGUGUUCUGCAUUAUUGCAAUUUUGAACAAUUGUCGGAAGACGGCAAUUGCGUGUGCAGAUGACACUAAAAGAUGGGGCAGUACCUGUUUAUUACUAGCUCAUCAUAUAGCUAUCACGCUCGGUUCGUUCACUUAAUAGGGCUUAUGUCGUCGUUCAACUCUCAAAGUCGU